CCUGGUUGAUUCUGCCAGUAGUCAUAUGCUUGUCUCAAAGAUUAAGCCAUGCAUGUCUAAGUAUAAGCAAUUAUACGGCGAAACUGCGAAUGGCUCAUUAAAUCAGUUAUCGUUUACUUGAUAGACCCAUACUACUUGGAUAACCGUGGUAAUUCUAGAGCUAAUACAUGCGAAAAACCGCGACUUCGGAAGCGGUGUAUUUAUUAGAUUAAAGACCAAUGCCCUUCGGGGCUGACUGGUGAUUCAUGAUAACUUCACGAAUCGCACGGCCUUGCGCCGGCGAUGGCUCAUUCAAAUUUCUGCCCUAUCAACUUUCGACUUUAGUGUAGUGGACUAAAGUGGUUGCAACGGGUAACGGAGGGUUAGGGCUCGACCCCGGAGAAGGAGCCUGAGAGACGGCUACUACAUCCAAGGAAGGCAGCAGGCGCGCAAAUUACCCAAUCCCGACCCGGGGAGGUAGUGACAAUAAAUACUGAUACAGGGCUCUUUUGGGUCUUGUAAUUGGAAUGAGUACAAUUUAAAUCUCUUAACGAGGAACAAUUGGAGGGCAAGUCUGGUGCCAGCAGCCGCGGUAAUUCCAGCUCCAAUAGCGUAUAUUAAAGUUGUUGUGGUUAAAAAGCUCGUAGUUGAACCUGGGCCUCGCGCAGACCGGUCCGCCUCACCGCGUGCACUGGUCCUGCCGGGGCUUUCACUAGGGGAUUCGCAUGUCCUUCACUGGGCGUGUGCGGAACCUGGACUUUUACUGUGAAAAAAUUAGAGUGUUCAAAGCAGGCCUAUGCUCGAAUACAUUAGCAUGGAAUAAUAGAAUAGGACGUGUGGUUCUAUUUUGUUGGUUAUGGGACCGCCGUAAUGAUUAAUAGGGACAGUCGGGGGCAUCAGUAUUCAAUAGUCAGAGGUGAAAUUCUUGGAUUUAUUGAAGACUAACUACUGCGAAAGCAUUUGCCAAGGAUGUUUUCAUUAAUCAGGAACGAAAGUUAGGGGAUCGAAGACGAUCAGAUACCGUCGUAGUCUUAACCAUAAACUAUGCCGACUAGGGAUCGGGCGAUGUUAUUUUUUGACUCGCUCGGCACCUUACGAGAAAUCAAAGUCUGUGGGUUCCUGGGGGAGUAUGGUGGCAACGCUGAAACUUAAAGAAAUUGACGGAAGGGCACCACCAGGAGUGGAGCCUGCGGCUUUAUUUGACCCAACACGGGGAAACUCACCAGGUCCAGACACAAUGAGGAUUGACAGAUUGAGAGCUCUUUCUUGAUUUUGUGGGUGGUGGUGCAUGGCCGUUCUUAGUUGGUGGAGUGAUUUGUCUGCUUAAUUGCGAUAACGAACGAGACCUUAACCUGCUAAAUAGCCCGCGUUGCUCCUGCAGCGCGCCGGCUUCUUAGAGGGACUAUCGGCUCAAGCCGAUGGAAG
rnacentral:rRNA from 1 species